rnacentral:misc_RNA from 1 species
UGUUCACUUUACGGUUGAGCACUAAGAGAAGCGGUAGCGCUGCGAGUGGCCUAGCCGGGAACUAGCGUCCAUCUUCUUCCGGCGUCCAUUUUCCGCGCGGUGUCCUGUUCUUGUCGGUACGUCGCGAGUAUUUCAACAAUUUCUGGAGAGACAAUCCCAAGCUUAAUGGACGGCUCACCAACCGGCAGAGGAGGAUUUCGCGGUCGUGGAGGACCCGGCGGACCGCCGAUGAGGGGACGCGGCGGCUUUGGCGACAGAGGACGAGGUGGACCUCCUAGAGGUGGCAUGAUGCGAGGUGGCCGAGGGGGAGGUCCUGGCGGACCGGGAGGAAUGCGAGGAGGACCCCCUGGAAUGAGAGGCAGAGGCGGGCCACCUGGUCGAGGUGGACGUGGCGGACACUUUCCCCCAGGAGGUCCACCAGAUGUGGGAAUGGUAGCGGGUCCAGGAGGUGGCCCUCCUCCACCAGGCAUGGCAGGUCCUCCAAGAGGAGGUCGAGGCGGCGGUGGAGUUGGCGGCUUCCGAGGUGGGAGAGGCAGAGGCGACUUUGGUAGAGGUGACAUGCGCGGUGGUGGUGGAGGCUUCAGAGGACGUGGAGGCGGUAUGGACCGAGGAGGUGGUAGGGGGGGUGGCCGUGGUGGUGGCGGUCCCCCAAGAGGUGGUCCGGGCGGCAGAGGUGGGUUUGGAGAUCGAGGUGGUAGAGGAGGCAUUGGCGGCAGAGGAGGUGCUAUCAAGCGGGGUGGUGGUCCAAUGGGAGCUGGUGGUCCGGCAAAGAGGCCCAGGUUCGAUCAGGCACCCUCGCAGAAUUCAAACGGUUAUUCUGCCCCACCAAAUAACCAGGGUUAUGGCGGUGGUGGACCACCCGGCAAUGGCUACUCUCAGCAGCAGCUACCGCCGCAACAACAACAGCAACAACCACAGCCAGGAGGUGGAGGAUACGGUGGAUACUCGGCACAGCAGGGACCCUAUGCUCAGCCUUAUUCUGGCUAUGAGAGCUAUCAGCAGGCACCCGAUUACGCCCAACCUACCGGAUACGCAGCACCAGCGCCAACAGACGGAAGGUAUGGCGGAGCACCCAACGUACCACCUACAGCUGCCUACAACUCGGCCGACCCCUAUAGCUAUGGAAAAGCAUCCGCACCCGACUAUCCGAGUCAAGAUGGCGGGUAUGGGAAACAGGACUAUGGGUGGAACCAAAGAAGAGGAUAACGAUCACUAAUCGGGUUCUUCCUCUGGUCGUAGACGAAGUCGAGCCACUCGUCGAGGGUGGUGAGGAUCCCUGACAAACCGGCGAACGCCAUACUUGACACAGGGUGACCGGGGCCUGACGCUAACCGGCCCAAAAUUACCGGAAGCACCGCUCGUCGUUUCUUCGGAGGAGUGCGGAAUCGGUUUACAUAGGCGAGGCUACUCGAAGCUCCUCGAAAU